rnacentral:lncRNA from 1 species
ACCUAAAAUAAAAGAAAAACUUUCCAAACUAAACAUGAAACUUCUCCGGUAACAAUAAUAUAGACCCCAUACAGAAACAAACAAACAAACAAACAAACAAACCCCCCCCCCCCCAAUUCAAUUAAUUUUAAAGGGGGAAAGACCCCCUACAAUUGCUUUUUUAAAGCAAUUGAUUUAUAUUGUAAAAAACCUUUUUAACCAUUCUGUUCCGUUAAUAAAAAAAAAAAAAAAAAUCUCCCCGAGACCCCCUUUUGCCCCCCCCCUUUUUUUUUAACCCUCCACUUACAACUGAAUGUAGGUUGUGUGCUAUCUAUCCUAUCAACGUAAAACGAACGACAACUCCAGUUUUUUCCAUAUUAUUAGGUCUUUCCACUUUUCUGUGGAAAGCCUAUUGUAUUUGUUCUGAUUAUUAGGUCUUUCCACUUUUCUGUGGAAAGCCUAUUGUAUUUGUUCUGAUUAUUAUUAUUAUUUUUUUUUUUUUUCCGCCAAAUUUUGUUCUUGCGAUAAAUGUUUGUUUCGCAAUAUGUCGCUUAGAUUUUUUUCAUAUAUUGUAUCGUAUAGUUUAUGCGCUUUUAAAUUUCACCCUGCUAAGCCGAACCAUUUUCUUUGUAAGAGUUAUCUCCCUAUUCACUGUUUGUCAUGUGUGUGCAUCUCCUUCGUAACAAAAUAAGAAAGCGACAAAAUUCUUUUUACAAAUUGUUCGUUACAUCCUCAGGAAUUUUUGGCUAAUUUGGAUCGAAGCGAUUCGAUGAAAUUUUAUAGGAGUUAUGUACCUUUACGGAAUAAAUUUGUCGGUAUGUUUUUUU